rfam:Choloepus hoffmanni cont1.299548, whole genome shotgun sequence.
ACUAGAGCCAAAUCUAUCUCAAAAGUUUAGAACAUUCAUUUUUCUCUCUUUUGUUAAUAUUCAAUAAGAAAACAACAUUUAAAAUAAAACUUUUUUUUCCAUGAGGAAGGGAUGGUAAUAUCCAC